UACGUAGGUGGCAAGCGUUGUCCGGAUUUACUGGGCGUAAAGAGCGCGCAGGCGGUCGUAUAAGUCGAAUGUGAAAGCCCCCGGCUCAACUGGGGAGGGUCAUUCGAUACUGUUCGACUCGAAGGCAGGAGAGGGAAGUGGAAUUCCGGGUGUAGUGGUGAAAUGCGUAGAUAUCGGGAGGAACACCGGUGGCGAAGGCGGUUCUCUGGGCCUUGCCUGACGCUGAGGAGCGAAAGCGUGGGGAGCGAACAGG
rnacentral:rRNA from 1 species